UGGGGAAUUUUGGACAAUGGGGGAAACCCUGAUCCAGCCAUCCCGCGUGUGCGAUGAAGGCCUUCGGGGUGUAAAGCACUUUUGGCAGGAAAGAAACGUCAUGGGUUAAUACCCCGUGAAACUGACGGUACCUGCAGAAUAAGCACCGGCUAACUACGUGCCAGCAGCCGCGGUAAUACGUAGGGUGCAAGCGUUAAUCGGAAAUACUGGGCGUAAAGCGUGCGCAGGCGGAUCGGAAAGAAAGAUGUGAAAUCCCAGAGCUCAACUUUGGAACUGCUUUUUAAUCUACCGGGCUAGAGUGUGUCAGAGGGGGGUAGACUUCCGCGUUUAGCAGUGAAAUGCGUAGAUAUGCAGAGGAACACCGAUGGCGAAGGCAUCCUCCUGGGAUAACACUGACGCUCAUGCACGAAAGCGUGGGGAGCAAACAGG
rnacentral:rRNA from 1 species